UCGGAUAUGGUGUAACGGCUAACAUUGCCGCCUCUCACUCCAUAUGAGUGCGCGGCAGCUCGGGGUUCGAUUCCCCGUAUCCGAA